rnacentral:lncRNA from 1 species
ACUCAUUGGCAUUUAGCAUAGAGUUCCGGAGCCCAAAGGUACCUUGAGGAUGAUCUGGUCUAAGGGUUCUGAACCUCCAGGCCGGACUCUCCCAGUGAUAGAUUUCUAAGGGUCCAUGAACAUAGGCGGUACAAAUGGCAUCUUUACUUUCACUAAUCUCUAACUGAGAUGAGCAUUUCUCUUAUUAUUUAAAACCAUUCUUCUGGGGGGCAGCUGGGUGGCUCAGUGGAUUGAGAGUCAGGCCCAUAGAUGGGAGGUCCUGGGUUCAAAUUUGGACUCAGACACUUCCUGGCUGUGUGACUCUGGGCAAGUCACUUAACCCCCAUUGCCUACUUAUCGCUCUUCUGACUCAGAACCAAUAUCCAGUAUUGAAUCUAACAGAGAAGGACAGCUUCCCUGAUUCUUGCUGA